rnacentral:rRNA from 1 species
GGAUUAGAUACCCUGGUAGUCCAUGCCGUAAACGGUGGGCGCUAGGUGUGAGUCCCUUCCACGGGGUUCGUGCCGUAGCUAACGCAUUAAGCGCCCCGCCUGGGGAGUACGGCCGCAAGGCUAAAACUCAAAGGAAUUGACGGGGGCCCGCACAAGCGGCGGAGCAUGUGGAUUAAUUCGAUGCAACGCGAAGAACCUUACCUGGGCUUGACAUACACCGGACCGGGCCAGAGAUGGUCUUUCCCUUUGUGGCUGGUGUACAGGUGGUGCAUGGUUGUCGUCAGCUCGUGCCG